CUGUAGUAUUUCAAGGAAAUGAUGACAGUAAGUUGUGAUUGCUAAUUAUUUGAACAUCAUCUGUCUUUUAAAAAAUUUAAGGUUCUUAAAGAUGUGGGAUUGAAAAAAGAAGAUAUUGCAAUGUGGGAAGUAAAUGAAGCCUUUAGUCUGGUUGUACUAGCAAACAUUAAAAUGUUGGAGAUUGAUCCCCAAAAAGUGAAUAUCAAUGGAGGAGCUGUUUCUCUGGGACAUCCAAUUGGGAUGUCUGGAGCCAGGAUUGUUGGUCAUUUGACUCAUGCCUUGAAGCAAGGAGAAUACGGUCUUGCCAGUAUUUGCAAUGGAGGAGGAGGUGCUUCUGCCAUGCUAAUUCAGAAGCUGUAGACAACCUCUGCUAUUUAAGGAGACAACCCUAUGUGACCAGAAGGCCUGCUGUAAUCAGUGUGACUACUGUGGGUCAGCUUAUAUUCAGAUAAGCUGUUUCAUUUUUUAUUAUUUUCUAUGUUAACUUUUAAAAAUCAAAAUGAUGAAAUCCCAAAACAUUUUGAAAUUAAAAAUAAAUUUCUUCUGCUUUUUUCU
rnacentral:sRNA from 1 species